GACAGAGGGGGCAAGCGUUGCUCGGAAUCACUGGGCGUAAAGGGCGCGUAGGCGGGAUGGCAAGUCAGUCGUGAAAUCUCUCGGCUCAACCGAGAAACGUCGGCUGAUACUGCCGUUCUUGAGGGAUGUAGAGGAGACUGGAAUUCCCGGUGUAGCGGUGAAAUGCGUAGAUAUGCGGAGGAACACCGAUGGCGAAGGCAAUCCCCUGGGCCUGCACUGACGCUCAUGCACGAAAGCGUGGGGAGCAAACAGG
rnacentral:rRNA from 1 species